UACGUAGGUGGCGAGCGUUGUCCGGAAUUACUGGGUGUAAAGGGCGUGUAGGCGGGAAUGCAAGUCAGAUGUGAAAUACCGAGGCUUAACUUCGGGGCUGCAUCUGAAACUGUAUUUCUUGAGUAUCGGAGAGGAAAGUGGAAUUCCCAGUGUAGCGGUGAAAUGCGUAGAUAUUGGGAGGAACACCAGUGGCGAAGGCGGCCUUCUGGACUGACACUGACGCUGAGGUGCGAAAGCGUGGGUAGCAAACAGGAUUAGAUACCCU
rnacentral:rRNA from 1 species